rnacentral:rRNA from 1 species
AACGAACGCUGGCGGCAUGCCUAACGCAUGCAAGUCGAACGAGACCUUCGGGUCUAGUGGCGCACGGGUGCGUAACGCGUGGGAACCUGCCCUUAGGUUCGGAAUAACUCCCCGAAAGGGGUGCUAAUACCGGAUAAUGUCUUCGGACCAAAGAUUUAUCGCCUUUGGAUGGGCCCGCGUUGGAUUAGCUAGUUGGUAGGGUAAAAGCCUACCAAGGCGACGAUCCAUAGCUGGUCUGAGAGGAUGAUCAGCCACACUGGGACUGAGACACGGCCCAGACUCCUACGAGAGGCAGCAGUGGGGAAUAUUGGACAAUGGGCGAAAGCCUGAUCCAGCAAUGCCGCGUGAGUGAUGAAGGCCUUAGGGUUGUAAAGCUCUUUUACCCGGGAUGAUAAUGACAGUACCGGGAGAAUAAGCUCCGGCUAACUCCGUG